UAUAUGUGGAUUUCGACUUGAGUUUCCUCAAUCUAUGUCUCUCUUAAACUUUUCAUCCCUUUGUAAUUGGAGUGUUUGGUCUGUGAAUUUUUGAGUGAACCCGAGUGGUUGUGUGGCUUUGCUGAGUGCUUUUGAUUAUGAGAUUUGUGAGUUUUGGGUGUUAAAUCCGAGAGCUUGAGAUUUUGUUGUGCUUGGUUUUGUUCUAAUUGAGGAAAAAUCGAUCGGUUGGUGUUUGUUGUUGCCGUGUGAUAAAACCCAAUUUUUGGGC